rnacentral:rRNA from 1 species
GCCAGACUCCUACGGGAGGCAGCAGUGAGGAAUAUUGGUCAAUGGGCGGAAGCCUGAACCAGCCAAGUCGCGUGAGGGAAUAAGGCCCUACGGGUCGUAAACCUCUUUUGCCGGGGAGCAAGGGCGGGGACGUGUCCCGGCCCGGAGAGUACCCGGAGAAAAAGCAUCGGCUAACUCCGUGCCAGCAGCCGCGGUAAUACGGAGGAUGCGAGCGUUAUCCGGAUUUAUUGGGUUUAAAGGGUGCGUAGGCGGGCUUUUAAGUCAGCGGUAAAAAUUCGGGGCUCAACCCCGUCCGGCCGUUGAAACUGGCGCUCUUGAGUGGAAGAGAAGUAUGCGGAAUGCGUGGUGUAGCGGUGAAAUGCAUAGAUAUCACGCAGAACCCCGAUUGCGAAGGCAGCAUGCCGGCUUCCGACUGACGCUGAAGCACGAAAGCGUGGGGAUCGAACAGGAUUAGAUACCCGCGUAU